rnacentral:misc_RNA from 1 species
UCCGGCUUGUCACCGGCAGUUUCUUCAGAGUGCCCGGCCGAACCGAUGGCAACUGAAGAUGGGGGUUGCGCUCGUUGCGGGACUUAACCCAGCAUCUCACGACACGAGCUGACGACAGCCAUGCAGCACCUGUGUUCCCGCCAGCCGAACUGAAGGUCCGCGUCUCCACGAACCACACGGGACAUGUCAAGGGCUGGUAAGGUUCUGCGCGUUGCUUCGAAUUGAACCACAUGCUCCACCGCUUGUGCGGGCCCCCGUCAAUUCCUUUGAGUUUUAAUCUUGCGAUCGUACUCCCCAGGCGGAAUGCUUAUAGCGUUAGCUGCGCCACCGAAGAGCAUGCUCCCCGACGGCUAGCAUUCAUCGUUUACGGCGUGGACUAC